GUUGCUUUGGCAGAAUUAUGCAUUAGACUUAGGAUCUAAAAAUGUGGGUAAAAGUCCCAUAGGUAAUA
rnacentral:tRNA from 2 species